rnacentral:ribozyme from 1 species
GUAAACCGGGCCACCGUGAGGAUGUUGGGAGUCUUACUCCAGAGGAGCGGAACAGAAACGUACAUGCGUUGACGUACGCGCUAGCUAUUAUGACAAUCGUACCCUGGGUCAUAACGUUUGCGAUGUACACGGGCAUGCACUGGACGUACGA